AAGGAUUCUACCAUUCAAUGAGCUACAACCCCAACAAUUAUUUUAAUAAAUAUAAUCAUUUUAUGUAAGCAAUCUAUUUUUCUCAAAAACAGAGUAUUAAAUUUGUAAGUAUUAAGUGUGCAAAGUCCUUUUGAUAGUACUUUGUAUGAUAUUCUCUCAAGAUAAAAAUAAAUAGGACCAGAGGCUUAAAUACACUCUUAAGUAGUUAGUCCCUGGUGAUAAACCAUUUCAGGAGCAGAGCCAGGACUGUCAUAGGCUUUCCAAUUUCAAUAAUCUGCAAUUCUCAAAUACAUAAAUUGCUCUUCUAAAGCCUAGAAUUUGGCUCUAAAGAGUAA
rnacentral:lncRNA from 1 species